CCUUUAACUGGAGAAUAGCCCCUCGAAAGAGGGAUUAAUACUCCGUAACAUGAUGAAGUGGCAUCAACUUUAUUAUUAUUAGCUCCGGCGGUUAAGGAUGGGCGUGCACCUGAUUAGAUAGUUGGCGGGGUAACGGCCCACCAAGUCUGCGAUCAGUAACUGGUGUGAGAGCACGACCAGUCACACGGGCACUGAGACACGGGCCCGG
rnacentral:rRNA from 1 species